CCUACGGGAGGCAGCAGUGGGGAAUAUUGCGCAAUGGGCGAAAGCCUGACGCAGCGACGCCGCGUGAGGGAUGAAGGUCUUCGGAUCGUAAACCUCUGUCAGCAGGGAAGAACGGUCACUGUGCUAAUCAGCAGUGACUUGACGGUACCUGCAACGGAAGCACCGGCUAACUCCGUGCCAGCAGCCGCGGUAAUACGGAGGGUGCGAGCGUUAAUCGGAAUUACUGGGCGUAAAGCGCUCGUAGGCGGUAUGUCAAGUCAAGGGUGAAAUCCCCGCGCGCAACGUGGGAACUGCCUUUGAAACUGGCAAACAGGAGGGUGUGAGAGGAUAGUGGAAUUCCAGGGGUAGGAGGGAAAUCCGUAGAUAUCUGGAGGAACAUCAGUGGCGAAGGCGACUAUCUGGCACAUAACUGACGCUGAGGAGCGAAAGCGUGGGUAGCAAACAGGAUUAGAUACCCGGGUAGUC
rnacentral:rRNA from 1 species